GACAAUGGGCGCAAGCCUGAUCCAGCCAUGCCGCGUGAGUGAUAACGGCCUUAGGGUUGUAAAGCUCUUUCGCACGCGACGAUAAUGACGGUAGCGUGAGAAGAAGCCCCGGCUAACUUCGUGCCAGCAGCCGCGGUAAUACGAAGGGGGCUAGCGUUGUUCGGAAUCACUGGGCGUAAAGCGCACGUAGGCGGAUUGUUAAGUCGGGGGUGAAAUCCUGUAAUCC
rnacentral:rRNA from 1 species